rnacentral:rRNA from 1 species
UAGGGAAUCUUCGGCAAUGGACGAAAGUCUGACCAAGCAACGCCGCGUGAGUGAAGAAGGUUUUCGGAUCGUAAAACUCUGUUGUUAGAGAAGAACAAGGACGUUAGUAACUGAACGUCCCCUGACGGUAUCUAACCAGAAAGCCACGGCUAACUACGUGCCAGCAGCCGCGGUAAUACGUAGGUGGCAAGCGUUGUCCGGAUUUAUUGGGCGUAAAGCGAGCGCAGGCGGUUUCUUAAGUCUGAUGUGAAAGCCCCCGGCUCAACCGGGGGGGGUCAUUGGAAACUGGGAGACUUGGGUGCAGAAGAGGAGAGUGGAAUUCCAUGUGUAGCGGUGAAAUGCGUAGAUAUAUGGAGGAACACCAGUGGCGAAGGCGGCUCUCUGGUCUGUAACUGACGCUCAGGUGCGAAAGCGUGGGGAGCAAACAGG